ACGGCUAAGGGUGAGUAAACGUGGGCAAUCUGCCCUUCACUCUGGGACAAGCCCUGGAAACGGGGUCUAAUACCGGAUACCACUUCCACUCGCAUGGGUGGGGGUUGAAAGCUCCGGCGGUGAAGGAUGAGCCCGCGGCCUAUCAGCUUGUUGGUGAGGUAAUGGCUCACCAAGGCGACGACGGGUAGCCGGCCUGAGAGGGCGACCGGCCACACUGGGACUGAGACACGGCCCAGACUCCUACGGGAGGCAGCAGUGGGGAAUAUUGCACAAUGGGCGAAAGCCUGAUGCAGCGACGCCGCGUGAGGGAUGACGGCCUUCGGGUUGUAAACCUCUUUCAGCAGGGAAGAAGCGAAAGUGACGGUACCUGCAGAAGAAGCGCCGGCUAACUACGUGCCAGCAGCCGCGGUAAUACGUAGGGCGCGAGCGUUGUCCGGAAUUAUUGGGCGUAAAGAGCUCGUAGGCGGCUUGUCACGUCGGGUGUGAAAGACCGGGGCUUAACUCCCGUUCUGCAUUCGAUACGGGCUAGCUAGAGUGUGGUAGGAGAGAUCUCAAUUCCUAGUGUAGCGAUGAGAUGCGCAGAUGUGGGGAGGAACGGGGGUGACGAAGGCGGAUCUGUGUGCCAGUGCUGAGGAUGAGAAGGAGAGGGGCAGGAGGAAAACAUUAA
rnacentral:rRNA from 1 species